rnacentral:rRNA from 1 species
UACGUAGGGUGCAAGCGUUAAUCGGAAUUACUGGGCGUAAAGCGUGCGCAGGCGGUUUUGUAAGUCUGUCGUGAAAGCCCCGGGCUCAACCUGGGAAUUGCGAUGGAGACUGCAAGGCUUGAAUCUGGCAGAGGGGGGUAGAAUUCCACGUGUAGCAGUGAAAUGCGUAGGGAUGUGGAGGAACACCGAUGGCGAAGGCAGCCUCCUGGGCCAACACUGACGCUCAUGCACGAAAGCGUGGGGAGCAAACAGG